AGCGCCCGCCCGGCCCGCGCCUCCCUCGCCUCUCCCGGCCCCCAGGCCCGCUCCUGCCGCCCCCCCAAGACCGGGCCGCGCCCCUCUGCGGAGGAUGCCAGCUGCCCCCUGCGCCCGCGGCCCCGGGCAGCUCCUGCGCGCGGGGACCCCGGGCGGCGGCUGGGCGCGCUGAGCGGGCGCGGGUGGUGCUGAAGGGACAGCUCCCGGCCGCAGACCCCGCCCUCAGACCCCGCCCGCAGACCCCCACCGGCACCCCCGUGGCCCCGCGGGGAGCCGGGCUGGCUCAUGGUCCCCGAAGCGGCGGGCCGGGCGGAGGCUCCUGCUGCCCCAGGGCGCACGGGGAUGCCCCGCGGGUGAGGCAGCCCCCAGCUGCCAGCCGCGUUCAUGGCGGUGGCCAGGAAGAUCAAAACUUUGCUGACGGUCAACAUCCUGGUGUUCGUGGGCAUCAUCCUCUUCUCCGUGUACUGCCGCCUGCAGGACCGCUCGGAGGGGCUGGUGCAGAUUGUGCGCAGCGCCGACCGCCGUGUGCGCAGCCGGCAGGCCAAGGUGGGCGCACUGGUGGACCGCGAAGCCAUCCUGCAGCGCCUGGACCACCUAGAGGAGGUGGUCUACAACCAGCUGAAUGGCCUCGCCAAGCCCAUCGGUCUGGUGGAGGGGCCGGGGGGCCUGGGCCAGGGUGGCAUGGCGGCCACACUGCGUGACGACAGCCAGGACACAGAAAGCAAGUUUGAGGAAUACGGAUACAACGCUCAGCUCAGCGACCGCAUCUCCCUGGACAGGACCAUCCCUGACUACAGGCCCCAAAAGUGCAGACAGAUGACCUAUUCCGACGACCUGCCCCAGAUCUCCGUGGUGUUCAUCUUCGUCAAUGAGGCCCUCUCAGUCAUCCUGCGCUCCGUCCACAGCGUGGUCAACCACACUCCCUCCCAGCUCCUCAAGGAGGUCAUCUUGGUGGACGAUGACAGUGACAAUGUGGAGCUCAAGUUCAACCUGGACCAGUACGUCAACAAGAGGUACCCGGGCCUCGUGAAGAUCGUCCGCAACAGUAGGAGAGAAGGCUUGAUCCGGGCGCGGCUGCAGGGCUGGAAGGCGGCCACGGCCCCCGUCGUCGGCUUCUUCGACGCCCACGUGGAGUUCAGCACCGGCUGGGCCGAGCCCGCCCUCACACGGAUCCGGGAGGACCGCCGGCGCAUCGUGCUGCCCGCCAUCGACAACAUCAAGUACGACACGUUCGAGGUGCAGCAGUACGCCAGCGCGGCCCACGGCUACAACUGGGGCCUCUGGUGCAUGUACAUCAUCCCGCCCCAGGACUGGCUGGACCGCGGCGAUGAGGCGGCACCCAUCAGGACCCCGGCCAUGAUCGGCUGCUCAUUUGUGGUGGACCGAGAGUACUUCGGGGACAUUGGCCUGCUGGACCCGGGCAUGGAGGUGUACGGGGGCGAGAACGUCGAGCUGGGCAUGCGGGUGUGGCAGUGCGGUGGCAGCAUGGAGGUGCUGCCCUGCUCCCGCGUGGCCCACAUCGAGCGCACCAGGAAGCCCUACAACAACGACAUCGACUACUAUGCCAAGCGCAACGCCCUGCGGGCGGCCGAGGUGUGGAUGGACGGCUUCAAGUCCCACGUGUACAUGGCCUGGAACAUCCCCAUGACUAACCCAGGCGUGGACUUCGGGGACGUGUCGGAGCGGCUGGCCCUGCGCCAGCGGCUGAAGUGCCGAAGCUUCAAAUGGUACCUGGAGAACGUGUACCCGGAAAUGAGGACCUACAACAACACCCUCACGUACGGAGAGGUGAGAAACAGCAAAGCCAGCGGCUACUGCUUGGACCAGGGAGCAGAAGACGACGACCGAGCGAUCCUCUACCCCUGCCACGGGAUGUCCUCCCAGCUGGUGCGGUACAGCGCCGACGGCCUGCUGCAGCUCGGGCCCCUGGGCUCCACUGCCUUCCUGCCGGACUCCAAGUGCCUGGUGGACGACGGCAGGGGCCGCGCGCCCGCCCUGAGGAAGUGCGAGGAUGUGGCCCGGCCGGCGCAGCGGCUGUGGGACUUCACCCAGAGCGGCCCCAUCGUGAGCCGAGACACGGGCAGGUGCCUGGAGGUGGAGAUGUCCAAGGACGCCAACUUCGGGCUGCGGCUGGUGGUGCAGAGGUGCUCGGGGCAGAAGUGGACCAUCAGAAACUGGAUCAAGCACGGGCGGCACUGACCCCCGGCCUCACCCUGUGCCCUCCCCCACGCGGACCCUGAGGACCUGGGGGAGGCGUCGUGCCCCUUCCCACCCACCCAGCACCGGAACCCAAGGGCCCUGGCCUUGCCCGCACCAUCUCAGGCCCGGACCUCUCCUCGGGCCUGUCGCCCAGGACUGCGGGGCCUCCCUGUGUGUCUGGAGGCAGAUGCCAGGAAUAGGCUACCCCACCAAGAGCGAGGACCCUCCUCGGCUGGGCAGCUUUGCCUGAGCACAGCAGCUGACCGCCAGCUCCAGCCCCCAAUCAUGUGCCUUUUCUACGGUAUUUCUGUCCAGCUGCCCGGACGGCCACCUCUUCUGCAUGUGCUGAAGCCCCUGUACAUACCCCCACGCAGACGUCAUGUCACCCCUGUGAGCCCAGAGGGCGGCCGAGCGCCCGCCCGUCUUCUCGGGACAGAACCGUCACCUCCUGGGGCUCCCCACGGCCUCCCGAAGCUCCGCCUUCCUGUGAUCUCAGAACUCAGGCAGAGCCGAGCCCUCUCCGCGCAAGUGAGAGGGGAGAAGGGAGACGUCAGUGUGGUGUCCUCAUGACGAGCCAGGGCCAUGAGCAGGUCUGUGCCUCCUGCUGCUGAGAGAAGCUCUGAAGGGUCCAGUUUCUCCCUGCUCAGCAGAGAAUUCUGCCGGCUCCAACCCAAGCCCCAGAAAAGCACUUGCUCUAGCCCACAUCUUCCCCACAUUUAAGACGAUGGUGGUGGGCAGUCAGCCGCUUGUGGGUCCACGAGCAUCCGGAUGUUUCUCCAGGGAUGCGCAGCAGCCGUCAGCACGCCAUGCACCGCCCGUGGUUACGGCAGAUGUUGUCACAAGCUCAACUUUCGAAGCGUAUGUGUCACAAUUCAUCAGGUUGCCAGUUGCGUCGCAGUCGGCCGUUUGUAGCCCACAGGGGAUCUCACAGAAAAGCUCACGCCUGGAAAAGUUCUUCUCAGCAUCUCACCAAACCUCCCAUCCUCUUGGUUCACGGUACGUCCCCGUGUUCGAAGGCCUGCUGUCCGUCAGGAUCAGCUGGCCCCCUGCUCCUGCCCCGGCACCAGGACCCAGGAGGACGGGGCAGCUGGCGGGGCACCGAGCUGGUCCACAGGUAGCAGGACGGGGCGGGUCAGCCAGGGCGGAGGUGCUGUCCACACUCUGGUGUGAGGCUCUUGGUUUAUCAAAACUGAGAUGGAACAAAAUGCCUUCUUCAUAAAACAUGAUCGUGGAGCUCACUUCCUUUUAUUCACUUUGGUCCCGACCUGCCUCUUGGGCAGCCAUGCCCCUCUUGGAGCCUGCCCUUCUCUAGAAGAACUGCCCGAGAGUCCUGGGGUCACUCAGUGCAGAGCGCACCCCCAAAUACCAGCUGAAGGAGAGCUGCUCAUGGACCACGACACCCAGCGCUGCCACUGCAGCUCCCGGCCACACGCGGCGCUGUGGAGAUGCUCCCUGCACGGCUUUGCGGUUGACACUUGGCCGCAGCUGGCGGGCCCGUCCCUGCUGGUCUGGAUCCCCGCCUGCACCCCAGACACGCCCUUGCUGGGGCUGAGUUCACAGGUCUUUCUAAUUCACAGUGACACACCCUUCCGUUGAUCCAUCACCAUAAUCCCGGGUUCAGAACAAACUCUAACGCCAUCCACGGACUGGGCUGAAGCCAACCCAGUCCCCCGAAGCCUCUGACCCUGUGUCCACACUUCUUUCCCCUUAAGGCCAAAUAAUUGCUCUUCUUUACCUGUUCUUUAACCACUGGUCUGAGGCUGAGGCCACCCCGACUGUACCAGGAGGGUCCCAUCCAUCAAACAAGGGGAUUUAUUGUGGGGGGGCAGAUUAGGCACACCCUGGAAGGGCUGAGCCUCUGAACAGGGACACCGCGGCAUCCAGGGCCUCAUCCUGCACUGGCCAGAGGGACCCAGGGGAAGGCGGUGUUACUGGAGGCCGGGAGCGGGGGCCGCUUGUGGGGAUGGGACUACAGAAGAAGCAUUGGAAGCAACAAGCCCCACCAGGAAUGCCCUGAAGGUGGAGACAUGAAGGGAAAACAGCCUGGUUGCUCUCCAGCCCCCAGUUGUCCACCAGCGUCUCCUCCGGCCGAGCCUGGAACUAAAGGACGAGGAACCACAGGAGAUGCUGCUCACGGCGUCGCAGAGCAGGGAGUGCAGGCGGGAAGUGGGUCUGGGAGCCAAGCGGCAGGUGCGCCCACGGGUCAUCACCAUGGGACAACGGGAUUUCCUGACUGACAAGCUGGAGCAAGGUUGGAGGUCACCCUUCCCUCCAGGGGCCCCAAGAGCAGGAUUUUCCGUCCAGUGCAGGCUGACAUCCCCACACCCAGGGCCAAGCUGGGUGCUGGGGUCUCACGGAAGGGCACCCACGAUGGGACCAGGCAUGCUUCUGGCACACCCAGGGCUGUCCACGGCUGGACCACACCAGCUUGCAGCAGGAGCCAAGUUUUACAUUUUCAGGAACUUUGUGAACCAGUUGUGAAACACAGCUAUUACUAAAAAUAAAUUACAUGAACUUACAACUAAAUAAGUUAUAUUAAAAACAAAGGUAAUAAAUACUCAAUGCCCACCGGCUCCCAGUGAUCGGCUCUAUUUUGUUACUUCUAUGCCCUGAGAUUACUCGUGGCUGUCACACCUGUGGUGGGUGGUGGCUGCGCCCCUGCGUCCCUUCCCGGCUCUGUGUUCCGAGCUGGCAGCCUGGCAGCCUGAAUUGUCCGAGGUGGAAAUAUUCAUAAACGGGCGUGGACCACACUACACACUGGGCUGAGCUUUACAGAGAGCCGGUCGUGGGACGCUGACCAGCACACCGCUGCUCUCGCUCUCCCAGAAAUCCCGGACGAUGAGCCUCCUCUCCGCGUCGUGAACGUGACCGAAAAGGGACACACGAGUGGUCCUGUGAGAACAGAGACGGUCAGCUGCCCCCCGGUUUCCUGUCCCACCUGCUUGGGAAAGUGCCGGCAACCAUCCUCACAGGAAGGAGAAGGAGGAGGGAGAAACGUGCUGAGAACGCGACGUCUUAAUCCCCCUUAAUUCUUGGAAUAACCCUAAGUGGUCCUGAGGACUUCUGUGCCCCCUUUCCGGGUGGGGGGCAGAGGCUGGGGGUGGACACGAGGCAGGUCAGGGCUCAGACUUGGGUCUGCUUGACCCCAAACUUCCUCCUUCCGCUCGGCCUGCCGCCCAGUGUCUUUUCCUUUUUCAGCAGCAGUGAUCUUUUAAAUGGCAGAGAUUCAAGCAAAUAGAAUUUAGUAAAACUUAAUAACAGGCCCACUUCUUUCAUUAGUUCAAUUAUGAAUUGGGUCUGAAGCAAAAUCAGAAAAACCCACGCCGUUUGUUUAAAAUGGCUCGUGGGUAACAAACCUAACAGCCGUGCUCUGGGAGAGGCUGUGAAUAGGCAGAUGCUUCCGAUGAAAACAGCAAACCUGCAGAGGUUUCCUCUUUCCUCUGCUCCUGAUAGAGAUAAUGGGCAUCGGAAUUUAAUUUUGUCAAAUAAAAGGGCUCCUCGCUCCAAUGAAUCUUGGUUCCGGCUCAGACUGUCUGAGGGAGGGGAACCUGAGGUGGGAUUUGGCCCAGGGAGCGGGGUCCUCAGGAGACAGCAGGAGCGGGGCAUCCCCCAGCUCCUGGUUCAGGUGGGAGAGGCAGCCCCCCUGGGCCCCAGGCCGAAGGCACGCCUGCCAGGGUGGUCAGGGACCCAGCAGACACGAGGGUGGAGAGUCUCUGAGAAUCCGGGACAAGGCCUACUUGCAGCAAGAGCCCCGGAGCUGAGGGAGGGGCUGGCCCGGAAGAGGAAACGGGACGAGGGGCACUGGGGUCUGAAGUCCCCUCCCUGGUCCUGGCGCCCGGCCUGUCCUGGGGUCUCUGGCCCAACUGCAGGCACAGAGGGGUGCGGGGGUCGUGGUUUCAGCCUCCAGGGCGUUCUGGGCCUUAGUAGGUUUCAGGGCUGAGCCCUCGGCCUGGCAUAUUCAGUCAGGGAGUGCGGGGUCGGGUGGACAGGAGCCCGGACAGGAGCACAGCAUCCUUGCCUCACCGCCAUUCCCACACCAGAAGGGCCCAGCGUCACUUAACCCUUGCCUGAGAUUCCUAAUCAUGUGUGAACAAGGAGGCCGCAGGUUGUGUGGAGGUCCUGCCCCCUGCCCACGGCACCCCGAAGCCUGUCCUGGGCCCUCCCGGCAGGAGAAGGGACACGGCCUGCUGGUCCUCUGUUCACGCUCUCAGGUGCUCACUCCCUCAGCACGUUGUUCCGAGCACAGCGGCGGCAGGAGGCAGGAGUGGGGCCUGGUGGGCCGCUGGCGGGCAGGCACUGAGUUAGCACCGGCUGUGUGCGGCCUCGCGGAGCCCGGCUGCUCUGUGGAUCCCUGCACCUCACCCCCCGAGGAACUACUGUUCUCUGAAGUCGUCAAAGUUCUCCAGGAGAAACUGGCUCUGUUAUGUGGCUCCAGAUGACUGUUGGCUGUCCCCCCCCCCCCCACCCCGGCGUUCUGGAAGCUCAAGAAGUUUCCCUGGGAGGGGACCCGGGAGCGCCCCUGAGGUUUGGAAAAGGAACGCCCUCCCUCCCCAGGUUCCCCUGGUGGGUCCCUGACCGUCACCAUCACCAUGGUCUGCCCUUCAGCCUCAGACGCUGCUGCUCUGCCACAGCGUCGCUGACGGGAGAUGAGCGGCUGUGUGGAAAACACCAGAGGAAAAUCAACAGCUCGCCUGUGAAAGCACGUAUGUCUCUGUGGUUGGCGGCAGAGGACACGCAGGGUCACAGGCCAGGGGAUGCCUCAGGCAGAGGGGCCCCAUCCUACCCGCCCCUCCACCCCGGGCAGGCAAGGAUGGCCACGGGCAUGCUUGUCUUGGGGCUCCGAGGAAGAGUCUCCUUCUGCUUCAAGGUGUCGGGUCUCCCACAGGGAACGGGGUGACUCAGGGCCACAGGGCACAGAGCCGGGGUCUCUGCGGACGCAGGGCAGGUCACGCGGACAGUAAGGGGUGUUGUCUCCACUCACAGUGGCCCUUGGCCCCUGAGGAGGGGACCCCAAGAGACUCCUUCCAGGCCCCCCACCGCUGGCCCUGAGAGACUCGCAGACCUCCGGGCGGGCCGUCGCCAAGCUCCGGGAGGCCCAUCUCCCAGCUGCCUGCCACUUCCAAGUCACCAUCCACACGACACUCGUAGGCCGCUGGGGGCAUCCUGUCUGCUGUUCAGCCUCGACCUGGGCACCAGCCACCCGGCUUCCUACCACCUCCCACCAAAGCCUUCACUGCUCUGGUGCCGACCUAGAGCCUGGGAAGCCUCGGGCGCUGAACCGCCAACCAACCGUUGGCAGGCAGUGUGGGGCCCUCAGCGGGCACAUCCCUGCGCCCAGGUCAGCCUGAGAGCCGCCGCACAUGCCGUCCUGCCUCACCCACCUGGGACCCCGACCCUGGGCUGCCCGCCCUUCGGGACAAGUGGUCCUGACUCAUAGGCCCUCCCGGAUCAGGGUCCUGGGGCUGCCGUGACAGAGAACCACGCAGUGGGGGCCUAAAACAGCAGGAUGGUCUCCUCUCACGGUCUGAAGCCUGGAAGUCCAGACGCGAGCUGUCGCAGGAUUCUGCUACCUCGUCCAGCCUCUGGGGGCCGCCGGCGUCCUUGGUGUCCCCUGGCCUGUAGACACAUCCCCCGUCUCUGCCUCCAUCACCCCCUGACCUGUCGUGUCUCUGAGUCCCUCUUCCCCCUUCUCACGAGGGCUCCAGCCAUGGAAGGAGGCCCCCUGCCGGCUCCACCAGAGUCAGAAACCGUCCUUGGGAACUGGGUCUCACACCUGGCCCAUGCCGGCGACCCUCCCUCCCCUAGGGUCCCAGGGAUGUGGCUGGAAUCCAGCCUGGUGCCUGAGCACACCCCUCCCGGGAGCCGACAAAGAAUGGCCUGUCCCAGCUGGUCGAGGAGUGGGGAGGACGGGAGGGGCUGCCCUCCCCACAGUGGCUGGAAGGCCACCAAGGCGGGGCUCCCUCUGCAGGGCAAACGCCACGCAGAGCGGCAGGGGUGUGGCUGGCGCCCACACCACCCACAAAGACUCUGCUCGGACAACCCACGCUCCAGGAGCAUCGAAGGGGCACAGAGGAGCUGCUGGCCAGGUGGGAGCCCGCAGCUCAGAAGGCUCGCCGGCAGCGCCACUGCAACCAGCUUGCUCAGGGUGCCUUCGGUGGUAGCAGCUGCCGUGGACACCGACGGCCAGUGAGGCGGUCCCUUCCUGUGCUGGGGUCGACAGUGACCCCAAGGAGUGUGUCCACCCGGAACCUCAGGACGGGACUUACUGGGAAAAGGGCCUUGUGGAUGUGAUUAGCGAUCAUUGACCCAGGAGCAGGGUGGGCCCUGACCCAGUCACUGGCGUCUUCACAGGAAGAAGAGAGUAGGACACAGAAACACGCGGAGGGACAGUGCCAGGCGAAGACAGGCAGAGGCUGGAGUGAGGCACCCACAGCCCAGGAACACCCAGGGCUGCUGGCGGCACCUCGAGCUGGAGAGAGGCCGGGACCAGACUCCCUCUGGGCCCAGAAGGAGCCAGCCCUCCUGCGACACCCGGCCCUGGGACUCCCACCCCCAGUCUGAGAGGAUAAGUUCCUGCGGUUGAGCCCCCACGUUUGUGGUGCUGUGUCACGGCGGCCCCAGGACACUGGUACUCCCAUUUCAGCGAUGACCCGUUUCUGAGAUGUGAGAUGAUGAGGUGUCUUUAAACAGACACACUCAUCAGUAAAGAUAUCUAUUGAUCAGUUGACAAAAAUGUUGUGACCAGGGCCUUGCAGGAACCCAACCCAGCGUCUCCCCUGGAGCAACAGCCUGGUACCCACUGAUUCCAUGUUCACGGCGACGCUCUAGAGCUUGACUAUCGCAAAUAUGAGAACCAAGAGUAUCUAUAACUGGAGGAAAUGCUACUUUCCGUUUAGAAGUUAGUGAAGAUAAAGAUGUGAUUUCUCCCACCCAAGCUCACCAGCCCUGUGGGCUACUGCACCAGCACCAGCAUGCUGGGGCUGUCCCCUCUUGGUGAUCCCAGGAGGCAAACGACUCUGUCUGGGGAGCAGGCGUCUUCAUUGUCAUGUCCUGAGAGGCUACCGGAACGUGGGCCCCGGGGAGGUGGCGAGGAGGCCUCUGAAUCAGCUGAGAUGAAUUCCACCACUCACAGGAAUAGGGCCUUGAAGGUUCAGAGCAGCUUAGAGCAACCACGUCCCAUUUCUCUCUCGCCGGGCCCACAGGCGGCCACGGUCGGACACGGAUGCCCAAACACGGGUCAGGGUCAAAGGAAGCAGGAGAUGUGACCUGCCCCAGGAGCUCAGGGAUCUGAGAACAGAGGCAGGAAGAAGAGAGAGUGGCCGAGUGUUACCGCGGCCCCAACCCCGGGAGAUAUUAACCACCACCUGCUCAGGACAAGCCUACAUUUUACCUUUAGCUUGCAGGAAACCGCAAAGGGAGGAGGAGAAGACGGCUGAGGCCUGUAGUCAGCACCAGUCUAAACCGGUUCAAGGCAACAUGGCCGUCUGACUCGGCCUGACGUAGCCCGCAGCUCAUUGCACGCUCCUCGUAACACACUGUCAUAGCAUGGAACACACCCGCUGACACCACGCCAGUUUACAAUGACUGGAAACAAACCAAAGAGGGGAAGAAAGGAGGUGGCACCCUAUUCGCCUGAAAAGCUGCCCAGUUCCCGACUGUGAAUAUUCCUCCCCUUCGUUACCUGGACCCCUUAUAACAGCUGCCGAAUCGCCCCAGGGCUGAGAAGUCGGCUUGUAAACAGAGUUCCGACUUCUCGGUUCUUUGGCCGUUGAAUAAAGCUUGUGCUGUUGAACGCUCGGCUUUGGUUUUGUUUCAAAUCUGCAACACUGAACAGAAAAGAACCCUCUGGGGAAGGGACGGACUGUGGGCAGAGGCCCAGCCGUGAGCCCUGCCUCGGAGCUCCUCAGAAUGUGGGUUGGAGUCCCACGGGGGUGAGAUGAAAUUGAGUCCCACGGGGGUGAGAUGAAAUUGAGUCCCACGGGGGUGAGAUGAAAUGGGUAACAGAAUUGCUGCCUGCCGGAUGCAGGGCCAAUGGGAUGUGAGCCCUCAGGCUCCAAGAGCCCCAAACGCCCCCAGAAAAGCUGCAUGAACUCGCGUCGUGGACCCGUGGAGCUCGGCACAGCCAUGCUGCCUCCUCAUAUUGAUAAGAGCCGCUCCCCAGAGGUCAAAGUUAAUUAAACUGACAACCUUGAUAAGUCGCUCAGCUAACUGCUGCAGAUAAAUAAGAUGAGAAGUCUUGUUAUUUCUCUUGCUCUUUAAGCUCCAAUAGUCAUUUUAAAAUUAAAUUACAUGGCUUCUCUGAGCUAAUACGAAUCGAUGGGGCGAUCUUUCUUUGGUGACUCAGGGAUGGCUGACAGGCCUGUGGCCCUGGGAACAGUAGUCAUUUCAGCAAACGCAGCCACACGAUGGGUUUUGAAGUGACAGAUUCAAAACUGGGCUCAUUUCUCCCAAAGGUCACGGUUGCGUGGGCUCCACAUUCUGUCCUUUCUAACCUCGGAACCCGCCUUCACGCAGCAUCCAGUGCGUGGUCCUCCAGCCACAGCAGCCGGGUGUGCUCCAAUGUCCCCACAGAGACAGAAAUGUCCCCUCAGGGGGCUUGCUCUGCUUCUCUGAGGGGCUGUGGGGGCUGCAGGGGGAAAGAAGUCCCUGUGCCCAUCAAGACCCCUCGGGCCGCUGGUCUCUCCUCCUUCCGGUCUCUGUGUCCCGUCUCCCACGGGAGCCCAGAGGGAGCCAGCAGGUCGGGCGAUGAGAGGGUGUGGAGGAAACAGGAGCUCACAGCGGGUCUGAGCACGGGGCCCGUGACCUGUCGUGAACACAAAAGAAGAAACAGCCCAGCAGCCCCUAAGGUGCCUCAGUGGAGGACAGGAGGGGAGGGGAGAGAAGAAAGAAGAUGAAGAAAGUAAAAAAGAAAGAGAGGAGGGAGGAGCUGA